UAAUAAAAAGUAAAAACAAACGUGGUAGAAAUAAAAAGAAAAAUCCAGCUCAAAUUUUGGAAAUGCAAAAGACUCCAGUAAGUUUAUUUCAUAUAUGAAUAUACUUUCUUGGUGAGGAUAUGUUGAAUAGAAGACAUUUUAUAGGCCACAGAGUUGUUAAACCCUUGGGCAGUUCAGAAAAAAAAAACACCAAAAAUAUUAAAACAUGUGAGUGUGUUAUAGACUUUAUUUUUUAGAGCAGUUUUAGGUUCAUAAUAAAAUUAAGCAGAAGCUGUAGAAAUUUGCUAUAUAUCCACCUAACUCUUGCUCCCCUCCCCUUGACAGCCUUUCUCAUUGUCAGCAUCAUGAACCACAGUGGUACCUUUGUUAAUAGUGAUGAACCUACAUUGACACAUCAUAACUCAAAGUCCAGAGUUUAUAUUAGGGUUCAUUCUUAGUGGUAUACAUUCUAUGGGUUUGGACAAAUAUAUAAUGACAUAUAUCUACCAUUGUAGUAUCGUACGGGGAUGUUCAUUGCCCUAAAUAUCCUCUGUGCUCCACCUGUUCAUCUCUACCUCCUCCCAGUAGUCCGGCAACCACUGAUCUUUUCACUGUCUCCAUAGUUUUGCCUUUUUCAGACUUAUACAGUUAAGAUGUGCUUUUACUGUUAUAUUUCAAGUACAUGAAUAAGAAAACAUUAUUAUGUAAGAUUAAUAAGGAUCAAAAUGCUUCAUGAGAUGCUCAUUUUCUGUAUAUGUCUUAUAAUCUCCGGAGUAUUAAAAACAAAUAGUUUUUGGACACAGAGAGAAAAGCAGCUCAUCUCUUUUCAUACCAAAUCAACCCACAGUUUCACAGGAAUAUAACAUAUGUUCUCAAAUUAUUUCAUAGUAGGGAUAAUCCUAUUAAAAACUAAAAUGCCAGCAGUAUGUGUUCCAGAAUUCAAGCUUUACAACAUUAUAAUUUAAUGGGCAUGCCCUGCUUAGUGAGCCCUUAAUCUAACUUGAAAAGAUCACAGCAUAGCUCUGUCAGGGUGGGCUUCAUGCUAUACUAAAAGUAACCAUAAAUUCAUUAAUUUUUUUUACUGGCUUGUGGAAAAGGGACUUAGAUCUUGGCUGCGGUGGGUGGGGGCAGGGAGUGAGAAGCAAGAUUAUGCAGUAUGCGGAGAUUUGAGGUAGAAACUGCACACUAUAAAGAGCAUUCCCUUAAUAAUGCAUGUAAAAAUAUAGGUAGGGUGGUAGGGUAAAUAUGAAAUAAAACUUGUAAGGCAUAUUUUUUUCAAUUCAAUUCAAUUCAGUUAACACCAAAAUAGGCAUUUUUAAGAAUGAACUCUGUUUUAAUCUUAAAGAAAAUUCCAGACAAUCAUAUUAUUUCACCUUGAAAUAUGUCAGUAUGUAUCUCUUAUAAAGAUUUUUUUUAAAAAAAAAAACAUAAUCAUGAUAUCACACCCCAAAAAAUUAGCAAUAAUUUCUUAUUUGUAAGCUUGAAAACAGAUUGAUCAGAGAUAGGGCUUAGGAAAUAAGGUAACAGAAUACAAGAAAACCUUACAAAGGUCUUGACAAAAUUGCUGAAGUCUGGUGUCAGUAUAUAUUAAAUAUACUAGUGCACAUCUUGCUAUAGGUUGUUAUAGGUCAGAGAUGUUUCAACUCCAUUUAAUUGCUAGCGGCUGAUUAGAGAGUUAAGAUUUAGAUAACACUUAUAAAGGCUAGCAUAUGGUCAAAUGUAAUGCAAUUCAGUUAGUAUUACUCUCAUACUUUUAUAUGAGACUUUUAUAAGCUUGACUAUUUUUACAAAUUCUAAUUUAGAUUUAUAUAAAUAUUAAGAUUACAGAUUUUAUUACACAAUUGAAAUCAACACUAAAAAGCUUUAAGUCAUAGAAACUGUAGGCUUUCCUUGUUCAUUAAAAAUAAGCUGUUUGAAUUUCAGAAUGAUUGUUUCAUAUUUGCACAUAAAAGCAAUUGCUAGACUAAGCUUCAUUAUAACUAGAAUGAUGUAGCGGGAAUUUAAGCAGAAAAUGUCUAAGUUUCCUUCUGGCAGUAAAGAUUCACAAUUCUAAAAAAUACUGCUCUUUUAUGUAGAUCAUUUUACAAGAGAUUUACCAGGGAUCUUAUAGGUCAUCUAGCUCAAUCUCAUUUUCAAUGCAGGGAAACCCUACUCAACAUGAUAUUAAUACUUUAUAAUUAACACUAAGUUUUGAUACCAAAAUCAACUCAUGCUAGCCUUGUCUGUUCUAAUUUAAAGGUUCUUGAUUUGUUUAGCAGUCUAAUUCGGCUCUAGUAUUUUUUAAUAUGCCCGGAUUCUGAUUUCUUAAGUAUUGACUACGACUGAUUUCUCCAGGUCAAUGUUUCUGACCCUGAUCUGCUAAUAGUGCCCUAAUCCUAGGUUGCUUCUUGUAGCUCAUGGCUUGUUUUUCUUCCUCCCAGCUUACAAAGAAGAAUCUGAGCCUCUUCCCUGAACAUUCAGGCUUUCAAUGUACCAUAUAAAAAAAUGAAGUAAACUUAACCCAUUUAAAUUAUGGUUCUCAGGGUACUGUGGGAUAGUUUAAAUUUUCAAAGAAAAUACAGCUUUGUUGAAUAUCUGUUGGAUACCACACAGACUACUAGAUGAGACAGUUCACAGUUUCAACAGUAGAUCACACUACAUUAAUUUUAUUGACAUCAUAUUUUUUGCAAAGUUGGAUUUUUAGUAGUUGCUGUAAUAGAAAGCCAUUCUUAGAAUCACUGUGGAACAGAACAUGAAGAGCAGUGUCCAAUCUGAUCCUAUUGUUUGAGAAGUUAUGAAGUCCACAACAGAAGCAUAUAUUACAUUUAGAAAAUUCAAAAGAACAAUGGGCUGACUGAGAAUUGAGAGAUCAGGAAGCUGGCCCUGCUUUGCCACUAACAAAAUGUAUGUAUGACUGGGCAUUUCACUUAUUCGGGUCUCUGUGGUAGGCAGCAUCUAAGGUACUUCCCAAUGGUCCUCCCUCCUGUAUUCACACCUUUGUGUAAUCCUCUCCCCUUCAUUAUAGGCUGAACCUAGUGACUCACUUCAAAUGAGCAGAAUAUAGUAAAGGGGAUGGGAUGUCACUUCCAAGUCUGUUUAAGUUAUAAACAGACUGUGAAUUCCCUCUUUGGCUUGCUUUCUCCAUGGCACACUCUGAGGGAAGCCAACUGCGAUGCUCUCAGCUGCCCUACAGAGAGGCCCGUAGCAACUAAUGCUCCCAGUGAACAGCCAGUGAGGAUCUGAGACCCUCAUUCCAACAGUACUUGAACAGGAUCCUGCUAACAGACAUGUAAAUGGACUUGGAAGUGGGUCCUCUCCAAGUUGAGCCUUGUGAUGAGACCACAGCCCAGCCUACACACUGACUGUGUAGCCUUGUGAGAGGCUCUGAGCCAGAGGGCCCACCUAAGCCAUCCCAGGAUUGCUGGACCACAGAAACUGUGAGAUAAUAAAUACUCGCUGUAUAAACCA
rnacentral:lncRNA from 1 species